UUUACACCCAGACAUGCGAGAUUACACUCAGACACGCGUGUGUAGUCAAUUAAUUUUCAGAAUCUCGGAACACUACACACGCGUGUCUGGGUGUAAGAUUUGGCUUCAACUAUUUGCUUUAGGUAGCGUUCGAUGUAUUUUAGUUCAAUGUUCCCGACUGAUGACUUGUAGGAUCCCAAUCUAAAUUAAACUUACAGAUCUUAAGGAUGUUCCGCAAAGAGAUGUAUACGUGCUACAUUGUCGACAAAAGCAAGGGCACAGAAUAUAUACUAUACAGAAGGACCACUCUUGUCGG